ACGUUAGCGGCGGACGGGUGAGUAACACGUGGGUAACCUACCUAUAAGACUGGGAUAACUCCGGGAAACCGGGGCUAAUACCGGAUAAUACAUGAAACCGCAUGGUUUCAUGAUGAAAGACGGUUUUGCUGUCACUUAUAGAUGGACCCGCGGCGUAUUAGCUAGUUGGUAAGGUAACGGCUUACCAAGGCAACGAUACGUAGCCGACCUGAGAGGGUGAUCGGCCACACUGGAACUGAGACACGGGUCCAGACUCCUACGGGAGGCAGCAGAC
rnacentral:rRNA from 1 species